AUGCUUCAAGCCUUCCUCUAUGCGUGUGAUUUAUGGAAUGUGACACAACUCCGGAGUGCAGUUAUCAAAAAGCCGAGGUUUCAGAAGAAGAAAGCUGAGGCUCAGAGUGAUCAAGAAGAUCCAGCCAGAAUGUGGAGUCCGGGACUGUCUGUCUCUACUCUGUUAUCCACCAGUUCCUUUGGGCCCUACCGCUUGGCUAGAUGAGGACUCUGCAUGUAUCAGGCAUUGUCUGUCACCUGAGUCACUGCAUGUAUGACAUCAUUUGUAUACUACCAGUGUCAAAUAUUCAUUAAGAAAAUACGAUUUCCUUAAAGUAUUUUCUAAAUUCACAGUAGUGUUUUUGAAAUUAGGCAUCUUGUCAAUCAGAGAGUGUGCAGUAAAAUUAUCCUGAUAUUUCAUGUUUACACAACACUGAUUCUGCCUCAAUCCCAAUACCACAAAUCAUGAAGCCCUGAUACCUUUCUUGGAGGAAGGAGCCUGGAGCUUGUACCCUGGACUCCAUUUACCAAGGUAUGUCAGCUCAUGCCUCUAAACAUCCCUCUUCCCGCUGAACUGCUUUGAGCCUCUGUGCUGAUGAAAUGUUCCGAGGAUUCAGUGGGAUAAUUUACACCAAGAAGUCAGCUGCGGUGCUCGACCCAGUGCCUGCAGCAGAGUAGACCCUUAGGAAAUGAGCAGUGUCAUUAUCUGGCACAUUCUGAUUACCUAAGAACUCCAUCAGUAUUUCUGAGUUGUCUUGUACUAUAAUCGAGCUUUUUGGGGCCUAUCUGUUAAUCCCAUCUCAGUAUAUUUCUACAGUAGAUAUGAACAUAUCAAGUGGAGAAAUAGACACUGGAGACUCCAAAAAGUGGGAAGGUGUGAAGGCGAUGAGGGAUAAAAUAUUACUUUCUGGGUAUGACGUAUGCUAUUCAGGUCAUGGGUCUACCAGAAGCCUAGAAUUUACCCCCAUGCAAUAUGUCCAUGUGACACAACUGUACUGUACCACUAAUCUAUAAAAGUAAAAAAUAAAAACGUUUCUGUAUUUCCUCUCUCUCUCAACACCUGCAAUCGUGCAGACCAAACUGCAUGUCACUCUGAAGUUCUCUUAUUCUAAUUCCCCUCCUCCCCCUUUUUUUUUUUUUCUAGACUGGGGUCAUUCUAUUUCUCUAAAAUAGCAUACCUCCAUGUGUCAGAAAUGGCAACAGUUUCUACGUGUGCAGUAGAUAGAUAACUAGUGUAUAUUUCUGCUGUUUAACAUAUGUGGCUUCUAAUAGUUUUUUUUUCUAGAAGGUUGCAGUUGGCUUUAAUUCAACUGUUUUUCCCUGACAAAAUACACAUCAUGGCUUGUCUGGUGAUGAUCCCUUCGUAGGCAGAUCGUGGGCUUUCUGCAGGAAAUGCUUCCAGUUGUUUGAGGGGGGCAUCAAGGUACUAAUUCCAGGCCACCAAGGCUGAGCGCCUAGGGAAGGCAACAGAGCUCAUAAAGUGAUGGCAACUUCAUGACUGUUGGCUCGCAGGCUCAGAGUGGCUUUCCUUUAGGGUGGUUAGACGGAAGUAUUGAUUAUUAGGUUUCAGUUUUUUCCUUUUAAGGAAAAAUAGAAAGGAACGUGAAGUAACCCACAGGUAUUCAGAAUGUACACAAAUGAUGGUCAUCAGUUGGUUUUAUAAUACAAUGGCAUUUGAAUUGGUUAUGCUGGCAUUGAAUCACCCAGAUAUGUAUUUAUGCAUUAGAUUUGUUCAAAAUUCAUGGUGCAGUUUUAUUUUUAACAAGAUUCAGGGAAAAAUAAAUGGUGAUUCUGAUUUUUGUCCUUAGGUUGCUCAUGACAGUGAUUCAGUGUGGCCUUGUACUAAUGGAAUUCAUGCAAGAUGUAAACACACUGGGAAACCAGUUUGAAAGAAUCAUUCAUUGAGGCAAAACAAAAAAAAUCUCCUUGAAAAUGCAGGAGUCAUCACGUUGUCAUCAUCUUCAACAAAGACUUAUUGAACACCUGCUAUGUGCAUAGUUAGGAUUCCAGUAACCUUGGUACCAGUUUAGCAAUAGAUUGAUUUCAUUAGAAUGUUAAAAUGAAGUUGCAUUUGUGGAAUACAUUCAUUAUGUAUACUUUGAGUGUAUUAUUUGUACCUGCACAUAGGCUAUUGGCCAUUAUACAUGUAUUUAUGUAUUUGAUUAUGCUUCAUAUAUUGAAAAUGUUUCUAAUAGCCAUAUGAGAAUAAAUUUCCUGUCAAGCAAAUUGGAAUUUUUCUCAAGAGUUCUCUGUGCUCUGAGUUUUGCGCAGCACCUGCACACCAAUGCUUAAUGUUUUCCUUCAGAAAGUUCAUGUCCAGAAGAGAAUUGUCGCAUGGCUUUAAAUACAGUCAAAACUCAAGCAUGAUAAUGCCAUAGACAUCUGUAAUCAUCUGUAAUUUACAGUUUUAAAGGGCUUUGCCAUACAUUCAUCAGCUAAUCAUCUAAUGUCAUUUGUUGCACUUUUGUUAAAUGGCAGGCAUUAUACUAGCUACUAAUUUAAUCUUGCCAACUAUGCCAAAGGGAAGGUACUAUUGUUAUCCCAUUUUACAGAUGAGAAAACUGAAGGACCCCAUUACUAAGUGGCAUUGUCGGGAUUUGAGCUUGUCCUUUUAAUCAUUACAUACGAUUUUUUCAACUCAGG
rnacentral:lncRNA from 1 species